rnacentral:rRNA from 1 species
GGAAUAUUGGACAAUGGGGGCAACCCUGAUCCAGCGACGCCGCGUGUGUGAAGAAGGCCUGCGGGUUGUAAAGCACUUUUAGUGGGGAGGAAAACACUCGACCUAACACGUCGAGGAUUGACUUAACCCAAAGAAAAAGCACCGGCUAACUCUGUGCCAGCAGCCGCGGUAAUACAGAGGGUGCAAGCGUUAAUCGGAACUACUGGGCGUAAAGCGUGCGUAGACGGUUGUUUAAGUCGGAUGUGAAAUCCCCGGGCUCAACCUGGGAAUUGCAUUCGAAACUGAAUUGCUAGGGUACGGAAGAGGGAAGCGGAAUUUCCGGUGUAGCGGUGAAAUGCGUAGAUAUCGGAAGGAACAUCAGUGGCGAAAGCGGCUUCCUGGUCCAGUACCGACGUUCAGGCACGAAAGCGUGGGGAGCAAACAGGAUUAGAUACCCUGGUAGUCCACGCCAUAAACGAUGAGGACUAGACGUUGGAGGGGUCAGCCUUUCAGUGUCGCAGCUAACGCGAUAAGUCCUCCGCCUGGGGAGUACGGCCGCAAGGUUGAA